GUAGGAGCCGAGCUUGCUCGCGAUGGCGUCAGUACCUCCGGCACCUCUUUGCGGCUGGAAUACCGCCAUCGCGAGCAAGCUCGGCUCCUAC
rnacentral:antisense_RNA from 1 species